UACACUCCUGCGGGAGGCAGCAGUGGGGAAUUUUGGACAAUGGGCGAAAGCCUGAUCCAGCAAUGCCGCGUGCAGGAUGAAGGCCUUCGGGUUGUAAACUGCUUUUGUACGGAACGAAAAAGCUCCUUCUAAUACAGGGGGCCCAUGACGGUACCGUAAGAAUAAGCACCGGCUAACUACGUGCCAGCAGCCGCGGUAAUACGUAGGGUGCGAGCGUUAAUCGGAAUUACUGGGCGUAAAGCGUGCGCAGGCGGUUAUGUAAGACAGAUGUGAAAUCCCCGGGCUCAACCUGGGAACUGCAUUUGUGACUGCAUGGCUAGAGUACGGUAGAGGGGGAUGGAAUUCCGCGUGUAGCAGUGAAAUGCGUAGAUAUGCGGAGGAACACCGAUGGCGAAGGCAAUCCCCUGGACCUGUACUGACGCUCAUGCACGAAAGCGUGGGGAGCAAACAGGAUUAGAUACCCCAGUAGUCCCAUG
rnacentral:rRNA from 1 species